AGGUCGCGGGGCAGCCGGGGCGGAAGGGGCUUGUUCAUUAUUUUGAGAGUUUGUUGUGAACGUCAUAACCUUUCGUCCUUAAAUAUUGCCGAUACUUGACCUACGCAAGAGACAAUGUCAUGUGAUUCAGCCUAAUAUCUCAGAGGAUGCAGCAUUCAAGGUUCUAUCUUGGAAGCAGAGACUGUGCCCUCACCAGAUGCUGAACCUGCUGAGCACCCUGAUCUUCCACUUCACCUUCAUCAGAACUGUUUUCGUAUCAGGAUGAUGCUGGCCUCAUACAAUGAGUUAGGGACGCGCAUGAAAUUUGGUGCCGUGACUCGGAUCGGCGGACCUCCCUUAGGAGAUCAAUCCCCUGUCCUCCUGCUCUUUGCUCCAUGAGAAAGAUCCACCUACGACCUAAGGUCCUCAGACCAACCAGCCCAAGAAACAUCUCACCAAUUUCAAAUCCGAAAUCCUUCAUCUAAUCUGGCAAACACAUGUGGCAGGUUUUUCUCACCGCAUAAAAUAUGUUAUAGAGUAGUCCAUCUAUUUCUCUUCCAUGGAAGAGUUCAUCUGGUAGAUUGGACUACCACUUUUCCUUGUCCCGAGUUCUCAUCCCGCAUCCAGGAAGAAUGAGGUUAUGUGGACACCUGGAGGGUGAGCGAGGCUGAGAAAAGCUUUAUUGGGCAACCAGACAGCUCUCAGAAGAGAGGUGACCUGAAGCAGGUUCAGGUGUACAUGUGCAGAUUUGUUGCAUGGGUAAACUGUAUGACAUGGGGAUUUGGUGUACAUAUUAUUUCAUCACCCAGGAAGAGGAAGAAGAAGAGGGAGGAAGGAGAGAAAAAAGGAAGGAAGGAAAGAAGAAAAGAAAAAAGAAUGAGAGAGAGAGAACAAAAGCAUCACCAAUAAGUGACGCUAGGAGCUAGCCCAAUGCAGAAGAAUGAAAUUGGACCCUUUUCUUUCACCAUAUACAAAAACUCACUCAAGAUGGGUGAAAGACUUAAAUGUAAAACCUAAAACUGUAAAAACCCUAGGAAACCUACGAAAUGUCAUUCUGGAUAUAGACCCUGGCAAGGAUUUCAUGAUAAAGACUCCAAAAGCAAUUGCAACAGAAACAAAAAUUGACAAGUAGAAUAUAAUUAAAGAGCUUCUGCACAGCAAAAUAAACAAUCAAAAGGGUAAACAGACAACCUACAGAAUGGGAAAAUGUAUUUGCAAACUAUGCAUCUGAUAAAGGUCUAAUAUCCAGCAUCUAUAAGGAACUUAAACAACUCUACAAGAAAAAACAAACAACCCCACCAAAAUUUUCUUAGAAUAGUCAAAAAAAUAGACAAAGAACAUGAACAGAGAAGACAUGCAUGCAGCCAAGAGAAGACAUGCUUCUCAAGAGAAGACAUGCAUGCAGCCAACAAGCAUAUGAAAAAAAUACUCAACAUCACUCAUCAUCUGAGAACUGCAAACCAAAACCACAAUGAUUUACCGUCUCACAGCAGUCAGAAUGGCUAUUAUAAAAAGUCAAAAAAUAACAGAUACUGGUGAGGUUGUGAAGAAAAGGGAAUGCUUAUACACUGCCUGUGGGAAUGUAAAUUAGUUCAGCCACUGUGGGAAGCAAUUUAGAGAUUUCUCAAAGAACUUAGAACUUCCACUGGAAUUUUGAUAAGGAUUGCAUUGAAUUUGGUCUCUCUUUGGGUACCAUGAACACUUUAACAAUAGUAAUCCAUAAGCAUGUGGUAUUUUUCCAUAUAUUUGCUUCCAUUCAAAUUUUUGAACACUUUGAAGUUUACAUAAAUCUUUCUUUUCUUUUCAUUCCUCUUUCUUUCUGUCUCUUACUUUCUUUGUUCUUCCUUCCUUCUUUCCUUCCUUCCUUCCUCUUCUUCUUACUUCUAGUGGCAAUAAGAACAUAUUCUAGCUUUAAUCUGGUGAUUUAUAUUUAGUGAAUUUUUAAAAAUUGAGAAUAAUGAUUGAACUGUAAUUGGAAAUA
ensembl:lncRNA LINC00882 long intergenic non-protein coding RNA 882